GAUGAACGCUGGCGGCGUGCCUAAUACAUGCAAGUCGAGCGAACAGACGAGGAGCUUGCUCCUCUGACGUUAGCGGCGGACGGGUGAGUAACACGUGGAUAACCUACCUAUAAGACUGGGAUAACUUCGGGAAACCGGCGCUAAUACCGGAUAAUAUAUUGAACCGCAUGGUUCAAUAGUGAAAGACGGUUUUGCUGUCACUUAUAGAUGGAUCCGCGCCGCAUUAGCUAGUUGGUAAGGUAACGGCUUACCAAGGCAACGAUGCGUAGCCGACCUGAGAGGGUGAUCGGCCACACUGGAACUGAGACACGGUCCAGACUCCUACGGGAGGCCGCAGUAGGGAAUCUUCCGCAAUGGGCGAAAGCCUGACGGAGCAACGCCGCGUGAGUGAUGAAGGUCUUCGGAUCGUAAAACUCUGUUAUUAGGGAAGAACAAAUGUGUAAGUAACUAUGCACGUCUUGACGGUACCUAAUCAGAAAGCCCCGGCUAACUACGUG
rnacentral:rRNA from 1 species